rnacentral:rRNA from 1 species
GAUGAACGCUAGCGGCAGGCCUAACACAUGCAAGUCGAGGGGUAGAGGAGGCUUGCUUCCUUGAGACCGGCGCACGGGUGCGUAACGCGUAUGCAAUCUACCUCGUACAGAGGGAUAGCCCAGAGAAAUUUGGAUUAAUACCUCAUGGUAUUAUUGAAUGGCAUCAUUUGAUAAUUAAAGUUCCAACGGUAUAAUAUGAGCAUGCGUCCUAUUAGCUAUAUGGUAAGGUAACGGCUUACCAAGGCUACGAUAGGUAGUGGUCCUGAGAGGGAGAUCCCCCACACUGGUACUGAGACACGGACCAGACUCCUACGGGAGGAAGCAGUGAGGAAUAUUGGACAAUGGGCGCAAGCCUGAUCCAGCCAUGCCGCGUGCAGGAAGACGCAUCUAUGGUGUGUAAACUGCUUUUGUACGGGAAGAAACACUCCCUCGUGAGGGAGCUUGACGGUACCGUAAGAAUAAGGAUCGGCUAACUCCGUGCCAGCAGCCGCCGUAAUAC